CUGAAAUUUGUUCACCAGUUCCAGGCGCCCAAACGCAUAUUAACAGACCAAGGGACAGAGUUUGUGAAUGCGAUAAACAAAAUGUAUGUGAGAAACUGGGUAUAAAACGCAGUCUGUGUGCACCCUACCAUCCUCAGACAAAUGGACUUGUUGAAAUUUAUGAACGGCACAAUCCAAAGGUCUUUGUGCAAACUUGUGGGGACCAAACCGGAGACAUGGGAUGUAUAUUUGGAUGCAGUCAUGUUUGGGCUUCGGACCAAAAAACAGAUGACCACCAAGUUUUCUCCAUACUUUUUAAUGUUUUGGAGAGAAGCACGCUAUCCAAUCCAAAUACCAGAGGAAUACCAGGUCAGCAGCAGUGUUGAAGAACUGAUUCAGGAGGAGACUGUGAGCCAAGGCAUCAAGCUGCUUGAUGAAUUGAAAACCAUCAUUGAGGAAAAUAUCUCCAGAUCCCAAGAAAAGAGGAAAAAAAGACUAAGUGCAUCAAGACGGAAAGAACGUUUUGUUGUUGGACAGAAAGUCUUAAGGCAAAACGUGAGGAGUCAGCAGCGUAAAGGUGGAAAGCUUGAACCCAACUUUCUCGGUCCGUUUACCAUCACUGCAAUCCAGGGAAAAAGUGCCGACCUUCUUGGGGAGAAUGGAUCAGUAUUC